rnacentral:rRNA from 1 species
AACGAACGCUGGCGGCAUGCCUAACUCAUGCAAGUCGAACGAGACCUUCGGGUCUAGUGGCGCACGGGUGCGUAACGCGUGGGAACCUGCCCUUAGGUUCGGAAUAACUCCCCGAAAGGGGUGCUAAUACCGGAUAAUGUCUUCGGACCAAAGAUUUAUCGCCUUUGGAUGGGCCCGCGUUGGAUUAGCUAGUUGGUAGGGUAAAAGCCUACCAAGGCGACGAUCCAUAGCUGGUCUGAGAGGAUGAUCAGCCACACUGGGACUGAGACACGGCCCAGACUCCUACGGGAGGCAGCAGUGGGGAAUAUUGGACAAUGGGCGAAAGCCUGAUCCAGCAAUGCCGCGUGAGUGAUGAAGGCCUUAGGGUUGUAAAGCUCUUUUACCCGGGAUGAUAAUGACAGUACCGGGAGAAUAAGCUCCGGCUAACUCCGUG